UAUUCUCCUCUAUUUAAAGAGGAGAAGCACUAUUCACCCUCAUUUCCUUUUUCAAAACCACGAGUUAUAGAGAGAGUGGGGCAAGAGAGAAAAUUUGAUUUUCUUGCUUGAUUCUUGAGAGCUUGGAGUGGAUUCUUGAAGGCUUGGGAGUGGAUUGCUUGAAGAGUCUGGGAUCUUCAUCAUAGCCUCCAUCUUCAACAUCUCUUUCAACCAUUUUCUCAUCCCAAUCUUUGAGCUUUGUGAGUAAAGGAUUGGAACGUGCAGGCUUGGGAACCAAGGAGUUGGAGCGAUCGUUUAAAGACAACGAAGAAAGAAGAAUCACCAAAGGUGAUGAAGGAUGGAGAAUAGAGUUGAUUGGAUUGGAUGAACGAGGAAGCGCGUCAUCCAAUGGUGGACCUUGAUAGAGUCAAGGAGCAUUGUGGACAUGUCCUCUCGGGUAGAGUGUGGCCAUGUCAGUGCAAUACUUGUAGGGUUUGAUCAGCAUGUGUCUAUAUUUUGGGGCAGGGUAGGUUCCCAACACAUAGCUUUUGGGUGGUUCUCCCUGGAUUGGAAUCGUAGGGAGUAGUCGGACGUAGGAGUCUAGAGGAGGCCAUUUGUGGCUGAUUAUUUCUUUCAUCACUUGUAAUAUAUUUGAAACUACUGAUGUUUUCUGAGAACUUUUAAACCUUGCCUUCAGGCCUAUGUUCAUAGCUUGGUGGGUUGUUUAAAUUAUUUAAGAAUUAUGCAUUGCAUGUUGAGAAAAGUUUCCUUUGGAAAGGAAAUAAAAGAAAAAAAUAACUCGCUUUUGAGGAUUAAUUAUGAAAACAUGUUGCAUAUUUAUUUGAGGCAAGUUACUAUUGUAACCCCUGAAAGUCGGGGCGUUACAUUGUAUGGUUAAGAAUUGGAAAUGAACGCACUUGUAUAUGUUGUUGAGUCAACCCUUGUGGCACGUUGUUGAUCAUGACCACAUUAUAGAUGUGUGCCAAUUUGUAAAAAUGUUUUAUGACUUCAUGUGGGCAUAUGUAUUAUGCUAUUUCACAUUUCGUAUCCACAUCCUAUUAUUAUAUGCUUGGAUUUCAAACCUAG